GAUUCAAGUUCAAAUGAAAAUGCUGCACAAAGCAACACCAGCAACAAUGAAAAUGCGGGUCAGGACGAGAAGAAUGCCACUCAGAGUAACACUGACAACAAUGAAAAUGUGGGUCAGAAUGAGAACAAUGCUGCUCAGAGCAACACUGAGAACAAUGAAAAUGCGGGUCAGAAUGAGAGCAAUGCUGCUCAGAGAAACACCGAGAACAAUGAAAAUGCAAGUCAGAACGAGAGCAAUGCAACUCAGAGCAACACUGAGAACAAUGAGAAUGCGGAUCAGAACGAGCACAAUGCUGCUCCAAGUAACACUGAGAACAAUGAGAAUGCGGGUCAGAACGAGAACAAUGCCACUCCAAGUAACACCGACAACAAUGAGAAUGCAGGUCAGAACGAGAACAAUGUGACUCAGAGCAACACUGACAACAGCAACAGCAACAACAACAACGAAAAUGCAAGUCAGAAC
rnacentral:lncRNA from 1 species